CCUACGGGUGGCAGCAGUGGGGAAUAUUGGGCAAUGGGCGCAAGCCUGACCCAGCAACGCCGCGUGAAGGAAGAAGGCUUUCGGGUUGUAAACUUCUUUUCUCAGGGACGAAGAAAGUGACGGUACCUGAGGAAUAAGCCUCGGCUAACUACGUGCCAGCAGCCGCGGUAAUACGGAGGUGGCAAGCGUUAUCCGGAUUUAUUGGGUGUAAAGGUCGUGUAGGCGGGAAAGCAAGUCAGAGGUGAAAACCCGGGGCUCAACCAGGAGCAUGCAUUUGAAACUGUUUUUCUUGAGUACUGGAGAGGCAAACGGAAUUCCGAGUGUAGCGGUGAAAUGCGUAGAUAUAAGGAGGAACACCAGUGGCGAAGGCGGAUUGCUGGACAGUAACUGACGCUGAGGCGCGAAAGCGUGGGGAGCAAACAGGAUUAGAUACCCCUGUAGUC
rnacentral:rRNA from 1 species